rnacentral:rRNA from 1 species
UCACCUAAGGCUAAAUAUUGGCGAGAGACCGAUAGCGAACAAGUACCGUGAGGGAAAGAUGAAAAGAACUUUGAAAAGAGAGUUAAACAGUACGUGAAAUUGUUGAAAGGGAAACGAUUGAAGUCAGUCGUGCUGGCGCGAAAUCAACCCUCUCGUUGAGAGGUCACAUGGCGUGGCGAGCCUCAAAACCGUCACGAAGCGUGAACUCUUGGCGAAAAGGAGCACUUUCGUGUCCGCUGGUUAACAUCAAUUUCGAACGUCAUAAAAAGGCUGGAGGGAUGUGGCUCCUUCGGGAGUGUUAUAACCUUUAGCGGAAUGUGGUGGUCGGGAUUGAGGAUUGCAACGAAUACCUUUAGGGCUGUUCCACCUGGCUUCUCUUUGGUAUCCUGGUGACGACAGCUUGCUGACGUUGUUAGGAUUCGCCUUUGAACAGGCUAGAGUGUGAGCAA